rnacentral:rRNA from 1 species
GACGAACGCUGGCGGCGUGCUUAACACAUGCAAGUCGAACGGAAAGGCCCUGCUUUUGUGGGGUGCUCGAGUGGCGAACGGGUGAGUAACACGUGAGUAACCUGCCCUUUACUUUGGUAUAACUUCAGGUAACUGGGGCUAAUACCGGAUAGGAGCUCCUGCUGCAUGGUGUGGGUUGGAAAGUUUCGGCGGUUGGGGAUGGACUCGCGGCUUAUCAGCUUGUUGGUGGGGUAGUGGCUUACCAAGGCUUUGACGGGUAGACGGACUGAGAGGGUGACCGGCCACAAUGGGAGGGAGAAACGGCCCAGACGCAUACGGGAGGAAGCAGGGGGGAAUAUUACACAAUGGGCGGAAGCGUGAUGCAGAAACGAAGCGUGCGGGAUGAAGGCCUUCGGGUUGUAAAGCGCUUUCGACUGAGACGAAGAGAGAGUGACGGUAAUGGGUAAAGAAGCACCGGCUAACUACGUG